rnacentral:lncRNA from 13 species
UAUGCCUUAUUUUGACAAUAUUUAUUUUUUUAAACAAUGUUUUUUUAAAGAAACAUGUAAAACAUGAUAGAGUUUAACAUAGCACUUUGAUUGCUGUGUUACAGUACUUUGAACUAUGGGAGACUAAAAUUGCCAAUGCAGGGAAAUAUGUUCUUUGUAUAUCUUUAAUUGUUAAUAAGUAUUUUUUGAUCUACUUAGGGAUACGUUUACUAAAUGUUUAUUCCAGAUGAAAUAAAAGACCAAAAACAAAACAAAGCUAAAAUGUUUGUAUUCCAUUUGGAAAAGUACAAUUUCUGCUGUAAUGCUAAUUCUUAAGUAAUCAAGAAAGUAGUUUAUUUGACCCGUGUCAGUGCUUAAUUUACCAGCAAAUACUGGGAUAAAUACUUAGUACCUGUGUAAAAUAUCAAUUAAUUCAGUAACUUAGGUGCUUACUGAUUACCUCAGUGCUUUCAAUGCUCCAGCCAGUGGAAAUCCAUUGAAAUACCAUAUUAUAUACAGUAUCUUGACAUUAAUGUCAAAGCAAUUAUAUUUUAUAAGUACCUGAGAAAAACUGUUUAUAAAGGUAUCUUUGCAGACAGUAUUUACCUGGCAACUACAUGAAUAAAAAGCACUGCAAAAGGAUUUAAAAAAAUAUGUUGGCCAACACCCCACUGUUACUUUCCCUGGUAAGGAACAUUGGUCUUAGUGUGCAGCCAGCAGCCACAUCUUUCUAGGACACUAUUGUUCCAUAUGUUUGCAGAUAGCAUUUUCCACAACCAGUCAGACUGGUUAGAUGUGACUGAAUGUAGCAAUAUGUUGACAAGGACCUCCUCCAUCUCUAACUCUAGGUUCUAUACUAGCGAAAGCGGGGACAAAAUAUAAUAUUUUAAAUAAAUCAUUAAAAUAAGUAUAAAUAUUUUUUCCAUUUCAGGGUUUUGAUCUGAAACAUCGAGAUGUGGGGUCACAACCAAGGAAACCAGCAUCCCUCUGGCUACAACGUGAACCCAAGCGGGUGCGAACCGCCAAUGCCAGGUGGGGGACAACCUGGCGGGUGCACCAUUGGUGCCAUCCUGACCCCAUUAUGCCCUCCCUACCAGCCCCCCUCCACUUGCUACCCUGUGCCACCAUCUUAUCCAGUACAGGGUCCCCAUGGAGGUCAUGGGCAUGGGCACGAUCAUGGGCACGGACCUCAUGGCCAUGAUCAUGGUCACGGGCACGGACAUCAUGGCCAUGAUCAUGGUCACGGUCACGGGCAUCGUGGAGGUCACGGUCAUGGAGGGCACGGUCAUGGAGGACACGGAGGGCACGGUCGCGGAGGGCAUGGUCAUGGGCAUGGUCAUGGUCAUGGGCACGGUCAUGGGCAUGGUCAUGGGCACGGUCAUGGAUGCAGGCACAGGCACAAGCAUGGGCAUUGGCAUGGGGGUUGUCACAAGAAAGGGAAGCAGAGUCAUGGGGUAAGAGAUCUUUUUAGUCUAAAACGAAUUGAAAGUGCUCCAUAG